GCACCUGCCUGCUUAUAGCUCCCGUCACAGGAGGCUUGCCUCUUUUUUAGUGAGCUUUGAUAAUUAAUCCUAUACAGUUGUACAUUAGUGAAAUAACCAUAGAGAGCUCCACUCAGAAUUGCGUGUGUCCCCGCUGGAUCUUCCACAGCCACCACAAAUCAGCGCCCGGUGUGUCAAUAAGUGAGUGGGUGUCGCGACAACUGGUGCAGGUGUGCCGGGCCUGGGUGGAGGUCAAGGUCAAUGUUUGGUGCCACCGCAGACUGAGGCGGGAAAGUGUUGCUCAAAGACGGCGAUUGGGUCCCGGCAAGGCAAGGCAAGGUCAAAUAGUCAGAAGGUUAGGAGACCACAGUUCUAAGAAGUUUGAUAGGUCACCUAUACUGGCCAAAGGCGAUGCCACACACUCGCCUCCUUGGGAUGAAGAGGAACAAGCAGCAAUUUUUUUUAGUGCUUUACUUUCCUCUGUCACAUUUUACGGACAGUAUAGCCAGACCGACCAUUAUAUCUUGCCUUUGAAGUAGACAGAGCAUCGUCCAUUGUUGAGCUUUCAUUGUACCUCGGCCAAUAAAAGAACCUGAAUUUUUAAACAUAGCCAGAACCCUGAUGGA